GAUGAACGCUGGCGGCGUGCUUAACACAUGCAAGUCGAACGAAGCACUUUGGACAGAUUCUUCGGAUGAAGUCCAUGGUGACUGAGUGGCGGACGGGUGAGUAACGCGUGGGUAACCUGCCUCAUACAGGGGGAUAACAGUUAGAAAUGGCUGCUAAUACCGCAUAAGCGCACGGUACUGCAUGGUACAGUGUGAAAAACUCCGGUGGUAUGAGAUGGACCCGCGUUGGAUUAGCUAGUUGGCAGGGUAACGGCCUACCAAGGCGACGAUCCAUAGCCGGCCUGAGAGGGUGGACGGCCACAUUGGGACUGAGACACGGCCCAGACUCCUACGGGAGGCAGCAGUGGGGAAUAUUGCACAAUGGGGGAAACCCUGAUGCAGCGACGCCGCGUGAGCGAAGAAGUAUUUCGGUAUGUAAAGCUCUAUCAGCAGGGAAGAAAAUGACGGUACCUGACUAAGAAGCCCCGGC
rnacentral:rRNA from 1 species